CUCAUAUCGAGUUAGACAGACUCAGCCCCUAGUCCUCAGGUCGAGGGUGAACCAUCAGCACAGACUCUGCGUGAGAUUCAGGCCGAUAUAUCACUCCUCACAGAUCCCCUCCUGACGGGAUAUCACCCCGAUCAGUCAAGCUAUUACCAGGUGGACCCCCACUGCUGUUAUUGCCAACUUUAUGGACACACCCACUGAAUAAGCUGGAGGGUCUCAUGUAAAUUGAUGCCGAUGUAACCGACCGGUAUGUUUCUUCAGCUGUGACAAAUGUAUUUCUGAUUUGGUUUCAUAAACGGUCAAACAUG